rnacentral:rRNA from 1 species
CGUAAGCGUGCGCAGGCGGUUAUAUAAGACAGAUGUAGAAUCCCGGGCUCAACCUGGGAACUGCAUUUGUGACUGUAUAGCUAGAGUACGGUAGAGGGGGAUGGAAUUCCGCGUGUAGCAGUGAAAUGCGUAGAUAUGCGGAGGAACACCGAUGGCGAAGGCAAUCCCCUGGGCCUGCACUGACGCUCAUGCACGAAAGCGUGGGGAGCAAACAGGAUUAGAUACCCUGU